GUGGCUCUACCAGAUCAAGCCAUCAGUGACCCACGAGCCCUUCCAGCCCUGCCCCGCCCACGUCUGCCUCGUCGGGGAGUUCAACCGCUGCACCGCCGCUGCCACACCCACGCAGCUACGCUGGAGGCCGCUCGAGGUUCCCCUGGACUCGCCCCUCGACUUCAUCGACGGCCUCUACACCGUCUACGGUGCCGGGAGCUCCUUCCUCCGACAUGGAAAAGGAAGAUGUUUCCAGAUUUGGCUCCACUGAUGUGGCACUAUUUUGGCACAAUGAUUGUGCUGCUGUAGGUAUGUAGCAAACCUUGUGCUCUUCUAUGCAUACUUAUAGUAUGAUCAAGCUUAAUAGGAGCUUUGAGUGUAUUCUGUCAUCUUCUGUUUCCAUGAUCAGUCUGUUAUGUUAUUCAUUCCCGAUUCAAUCCUCAAGUUCAUGGCUAUAUCAGUUUUCUUAAUAUAUGUUUGUGAAGUUUAAACCAAUCUCAUAGGUCAGCCUUUUGGUCUUACGUAGUAUGUCUGCCUACAUGAAAAAACAGAAAAUUUUGUCAUUCUACCCUGCACUUUCACCCCCUACGUUAUCUGCAAGUGUAUCGAAUAGAGCCUGCAACGUUCUUGCGCUUCAUCCUUUGUUAUUGCAGUAAUAAAGCUUCUCUAAAAUAUUGGACAGCAUACUGUUUGCAGUAACUAACCUACCAAUAGAUUAAGGUCCUUUGUCCUCUGCAUGCAUCUACCAGUAGUACAAAGCUUAUUUCAAAAGUGCACGAAUUUCUUAAGGCUGGCUUUCUGAUCAGGCUUUGCUUAUCUCCUUUUUUUUCUGUUAUCUUUGGUGAGGGGCCUUGCCUGGUAAUCUGCAUGCAACUCUGAUGCCCUACUCAAUAGUCUAUUUGGGUAAGUCCCACAAUUCACUAAAUAUAUCUAAGCUGUCCGACAAUAUUGAUGAAA